rnacentral:lncRNA from 1 species
GUUGCGUCUGGGUGAAGACUGGCUGAAGGGACUGAGGAAUCUCCUGCGGCAGCCAACUCUGCACAUCCCAGAAAAAGCUCCUGAAACAAACGGUCCCUGGAGUCUCUGAGAUGGCAAACACAGUGCGUGGUUUCAGUCCUGUCUAGCGGUGCAGAUCUUGCUGAGAUUCAUUGUUGACCCAUAAAGCUUCUAAAACUUAGAACGUGUGUCUGAUUAUACAAACGUUAGAAAGCUAUCCUGCUGGUGGUGCUGAUUGGUCAAGGGCUUACCCGGCGGGCACAAGGCCCUGUGUUCAGCUUCCAGUACAGCAUAAACUGAGCGUGGUGGUACACUAGUCCCAACUCUUAGGGGGUAGAGGCAUGAGGCCAUUAGCUACAGCAAGUUCAAAGUCAACCUGGGCUACAUGAGCCCUUGUCUUUGAGAGAGAGAGAGAGAGAGAGAGAGAGAGAGAGGAGAAGGAAGGAAGGAAGCAAGCAAGCUCAUUUGUAAAAAAUAACAAAACAACAAACACAGAAUGUAUAUGGAUAGCCCUCGUGACAAUGGCUUUACUGCUGGUUUCUGCCUAGGCUUUUACACACUCACCCACACCAAUAACUACAUCUCGCCUCCAGCUGUAUCUUGCUUUUCUCAUCUGACUCUAUCUGGGCACAACUCCUGAGUGUUUUCUUUAGGAUAGAAGUGCUUUUGUGUGGAUGAGCAUGACAGGUCUGUCUUGGGAAGCCUGGGUCUUGCGACGUCCUGGAGUCAGCAUUUAGAAUAUUAAUUUCCACUGCUCGUGUUAAAGGGGUGGGUGACCUGGCUGAAAAUGACGUCUCAGCAGAACUCACGUUUCGGGUUGAGUAUCUUUUAAUCUACCGGUUAACAAACCGUUUCUCAUCCUAAUGGGGCGCUCUGUCCCCUGUCUCUGGGAGAGGGAGAGGGAGAGGGGAGAGAGAGGGAGAGGGGAGAGAGAGGGAGAGGAGAGAGAGAGGGAGAGGGAGAGGAGAGAGAGAGGGAGAGGGAGAGAGAAUCCCAUUUAAUUCACAUUUUAAUUCCCUUUCUUUUCCCCUGGUUUCCCUGGCCUUAUGUAGUGCAGGUUGGCCUGAAGCCCACACUCCUCCCGCUUCUUCCUGUCAAGCGCUGAGGUUCCAGACGUGGACCAUCAAGCCCAGCUCGGGCUUUCCUUCAAGGUUGGAAAGCACAGGGGAUUCAGCACACAGUGGCAGAGAGAUGGUCACCGCAAGCCUUCAAGCAGGUGAAAUAAAAACUCUGCUUCCCAGCACGCAGAGGAGAGAUCGGCCUUGAAUGAAGCAAGCUUGGUACGCCCAGCUCCUACCUUCUCCAGCAAGUCCCCACUUCUAACUUUUGCACUAAAUCUCAACCUUUAAUAAGAAGCAGCUCUUGGUAUCAGCAAUAGUUCUGGAUCCUCCUCUGCCCGCUGUCAGGUUUGUGGGUUUUAUUUUUGUGUGUGUAAUUGGAAAAUUCCCUCGUGGGACUGGGGAGGAACAUUAAUGUCACUAUAGAGAUGGGCUCUUGGUCCAACCUAUAGGAUUGGGCAAGCUUCCGAAAGUGAAGCCCAUCAAAGAGGUGAGGGUCAGCUGGGCAAUUUCCAGCGUCAUUUUGGUGGGACUUUGGUCUUUGUUCUGUGCUAUUAGGGGAGGGUAACUGCCUGGGCACGAUGAGGCCUCAGCCAGCAACGGGAAGCAUAAAACACAUUUAUGACCCCUGCAGUGUUAGAGCCGGUGGCUGCCUGUGAGAUCCAGGACCAGGACUGGUUUGGCCUUAUUUGAGAGGCAUUGCUACAACUCCUAAAGUCCCGUCAGGGAUGUCCCUCCUCCUACAUCUUACCUCUCUCUCGUCCCAUUAUCUUCUCCAAAGAUGGGGGAAAGAUUAUUCGGAUUAUAUUCAAAAUAUACACGAAC